UUCCAAGGUUUGUGGAGUGAAGAAUUUGUUAAGCCAAGUUCAAUUUUCCAGGUUUCAUCUUGCAUCAUGCAAGUUAAAAGAAUGACAGCAUUCGAGUCUCCUGAUAACCAAAUUAAUUGCAGCAGCUUCUUAGGCCUUCUAAAAUGAUUGGCUUCACCUGCAAGGAGAUAAGGACUAAAAUGAUUGGCUUCAACUGCAAGGAGAUAAGGAUUGGCUUCAACUGCAAGGAGUUAAGGACUAAAAUGAUUGGCUUCAACUGCAAGGAGAUAAGGACCGAUCCCCAAUUUCCAAGUUGAGGUUUGAGGAUCACCUGUUUCCAAUUUUCUGGGAAAUUGCUCUUUUCAAGGUACAUGUCAGAUUUGUACAUCCAACUUUAAAUAGUAAAAGUUUUUCAGUGGACUACGG
rnacentral:lncRNA from 1 species